rnacentral:ncRNA from 1 species
AUGGAAAAUGGUAUCAAGGCAAUUACCAGUUAUUGAAAGAACUGGGACUCUCUGGUUCCCGACGGAAAAAGGUGGCUCGUCGGUUAUCGAAUGGGAAGUUACUUCCAUCAGCAGACACUGUGCAUAUGUUCCUAAGUCAAGCUCGGACUGUUGUUAGAUCAUAACGAAUUAAUGAACUGUAAUUGUAUUGCCUGAUGGACUGUAAAUAAACGGAUUGCUUUUGUCUACAUAAGGUUGGAGCCGGACCCCACUGGAGAGAGCCGAAGGCGACAACAGCUUCGGCCAAAGGGCGACGCGUUGGGUUGCGAUAGCACACAGGGACGCCAACGGGCUCAGAAUCACCACGCGUCAUCCCGGUUCCUGCCAACAGACGUUAACUACCGGUCUUUACCAAGGCGGACGGGCCACCUUUACUUAACCUGGAAAAGGAACAUGUGUAAUUUUAUGUACGUUCAAUAAACAGCCAAAUGCCUCGUCAGCUAAUUAGUGACGCAGACGAAUGAGAUUCCCGCUGUCCCUGCCUACUAUCCAGCGAAACCACAGCCAAGGGAACGGGCUUGGCGGCACCAGCGGGGAAAGAAGACCCUGUUGAGCUUGACUCUAGCCUGGCGCUGUGAAGAGACACGAGAGGUGUAGAAUAAGUGGGAGGCCGGGCACGCCCUUGGCGGGGGGGCUCUCGCUUCCGGCGCCAAGCCCCUGGUGCGUGCCAGGCACGACGCGCUCCGGGGGCAGCGGCAGGCGGGGGGUUGGGACAGUACACCCGUCAAAGCGUAACGCAGGUGUCCUACGGCAAGCUCAGGGAGGACGGAAACCUCCCAAGGAGCAGAAGGGCAAAAGCUCGCUUGACCUUGAUUUUCAGUACGAAUGCAGGCAGUGGAAGCGGGGCCUUGCGAUCCUUCUGGCUUUCUCGGUCUUAAGCAGGAGGCUAGAACCUGCCUGAAGGCUACGCAGCGCAUCGGUGACGGGACAAGACAUAGGCAGCUGCUCUUGGUCUGGGCUGUAAUUGUUCCACUUCAUCACUUACUGUUACACUGCUGGUUGUGC